CCGAGUCGAGCAACUCCCAAACCCCCCUGCGAACCGUACCACACACGUUGCCUCGGCGGGAACGCCCCGGCGCCCACGGCGGCCCGGACCCAGGCGCCCGCCGGAGGACCCCCCAGACUCUCCUGUCGCAGCGG
rnacentral:misc_RNA from 1 species